rnacentral:SRP_RNA from 1 species
GCUGGGCGAGGUGGCGAGCGCCUGUAAUCCCAGCUACUGGGGAGGCUGAGGCAGGAGAAUUGCUUGAACCCGGGAGGCGGAGGUUGCAGUGAGCUGAGAUCUUGCCACUGCACUCUAGCCUGGGUGACAGAGCAAGACUCUGUCUCAG